CGUAGGUGGCAAGCGUUGUCCGGAUUUAUUGGGUUUAAAGGGUGCGUAGGCGGUCUUGUAAGUCAGUGGUGAAAUACGGCAGCUUAACUGUCGAGGUGCCAUUGAUACUGCAGGACUUGAGUACAGACGAGGUAGGCGGAAUUGACGGUGUAGCGGUGAAAUGCUUAGAUAUCGUCAAGAACACCGAUAGCGAAGGCAGCUUACUAGACUGUAACUGACGCUGAUGCACGAAAGUGUGGGGAUCAAACAGGAUUAGAUACCCUGGUAGUCCACACUGUAAACGAUGAUUACUCGAUGUUGGCGAUACACAGCCAGCGUCUUAGCGAAAGCGAUAAGCAAUCCACCUGGGGAGUACGCCGGCAACGGUG
rnacentral:rRNA from 1 species